UACGGGGGGAGCAAGCGUUGUUCGGAUUUACUGGGCGUAAAGGGCGCGUAGGCGGCCACCGCAAGUCAAUUGUGAAAUCUCCGGGCUUAACUCGGAAAGGUCAACUGAUACUGCGGGGCUAGAGUGCGGAAGGGGCAACUGGAAUUCUCGGUGUAGCGGUGAAAUGCGUAGAUAUCGAGAGGAACACCUGCGGCGAAGGCGGGUUGCUGGGCUGACACUGACGCUGAGGCGCGAAAGCCAGGGGAGCAAACGGG
rnacentral:rRNA from 1 species